ACAUCUUCAUACAUGUAUUUUAUAUAAUGAUGAGAGUCUCCUUUCACUAUCUAUGCUAUUCCCCUUCUCCCUCCCUUUCCCUCCCAUCCCUAUUCCCUAUCUAGUGGUAAUCUUCCUCCCUUUCUCUCCCUCCGAACCCCAUUUUGAGUCACCCCCCUUAUAUCAGAGAAGACAUUCGCCAUUUGUUUUUUUGGGAUUGGCUAACUUCACUUAGCAUAAUCUGUGCUAAUGCCAUCCAUUUCCCUGCAAAUGCCAUGAACUUAUUCUUUUUUUAUUGCUGAGUAAUAUUCCAUUGUGUAUAAAUGCCACAUUUUUUAUCCAUUCAUCCACUGAAGGACAUCUAUGUUGGCUCCACAUUUUAGCUAUUGUGAAUUGUGCUGCUAUAAACAUUGAUGUGGCUGUGUCCCUGUAAUAUGCUGUUUUUAGAUCCUUUGGGUGUAGUCUGAGAAGAGGAAUAGCUGGGUCAAAUGGUGGUUCCAUUCCCAGUUUUCCAAGAAAUCUCCAUACUGCUUUCCAAAUUGGCUGCACCAAUUUGCAGUCCCACCAGCAGUGUACGAAUGUACCUUUUUCCCCGCAUCCUCGCCAGUGUUCUCAUUUAUUUUUAAGAAUGUUUAAAAAGUUCCCUUGAUUUCUUCUAUCACCCAAUCCUCAUUCAAAAAUCCAUCUGGUCCCUGACUUUUUUUGUUGG
rnacentral:lncRNA from 1 species